rnacentral:rRNA from 1 species
ACUCCUACGGGAGGCAGCAGUGGGGAAUAUUGGACAAUGGGCGCAAAGCCUGAUCCAGCCAUGCGCGUGUGUGAAGAAGGCCUUCGGGUUGUAAAGCACUUUCAGCGAGGAGGAAGGGUGUUGUGUUAAUAGCACAGCAUUUUUGACGUUACUCGCAGAAGAAGCACCGGCUAACUCCGUGCCAGCAGCCGCGGUAAUACGGAGGGUGCGAGCGUUAAUCGGAAUUACUGGGCGUAAAGCGCAUGCAGGUGGUUUGUUAAGUCAGAUGUGAAAGCCCGGGGCUCAACCUCGGAAUAGCAUUUGAAACUGGCAGACUAGAGUACUGGUAGAGGGGGUAGAAUUUCAGGUGUAGCGGUGAAAUGCGUAGAGAUCUGAAGGAAUACCGGUGGCGAAGGCGGCCCCCUGGACAGAUACUGACACUCAGAUGCGAAAGCGUGGGGAGCAAACAGGAUUAGAUA